rnacentral:tRNA from 2 species
GCUUGGGUGGUGGAAUUGGUAGACACGCAGGACUUAAAAUCCUGUGCUUUCACGAGCGUACGGGUUCAAGUCCCGUCCCGAGUA